AGGCAGACUGGUUCCAGGAGGAUGAGAGCUCUUGUUCUGACACCUGUGUCUGAUUCCAGGGCCUACAAAUCCGCUCUGGACUACGCCAAACGAAGUCUGGAGAUUUUCAUUGACCUCCAGAGGAAAGAGAAGGAGGCGCAUGCCUGGCUGCAAGCAGGGAAGAUCUAUUACAUCCUGCGACAGAGCGAGCUGGUGGACCUGUGCAUCCAGGUGGCACAGAAUGUGGCCCUGUACACAGGCGACCCCAACCUGGGGCUGGAGCUGUUUGAGGCAGCUGGAGACAUCUUCUUCAAUGGGGCCUGGGAGCGGGAGAAAGCCGUGUCCUUCUACCGGGACCGGGCCCUGCCCCUGGCAGUGACUACGGGCAACCGCAAGGCGGAGCUACGGCUGUGCGACAAGCUGGUGGCACUGCUGUCCACGCUGGAGGAGCCCCAGGAGGACUUGGAGGUUGCCCACAUGGCCCUAGCACUCAGCAUCACUCUGGGUAAGUCCUCUGAGGCCCUGCCCUGCCAGGACCCACACUUUGCCAGAGCCCAGCCUCCAGGUCUGCAGGGCAGGAGCUGAAACAGCUGCUGGAUUUUCCUGGUCUCCUGUCCAGGCAGGCAGAUCUGCCCAGCUGGCUUCCCCGUCCGGCCGUGGGGCACAGCCCGAGGUCUCUCACACAGUGCAGAGCUCCCUGCCUGACUGAGCUCUGCUUCCUCUGCCUCUUCCCGCUGCUGACCACAAGGGCCACCCAGUGUGCCCUCUGUCUUCGAGACAUGCCAGGCAUCUCGUUGGUCCCUGUAUGUGCCAGGCUGUGUGGCACAUUCCCUUUCUCUUGUGCCCUUCCCACCCUCAUCAACCACACAGCUCUCUGGCUGAUGAAAUCCCAGUUCCCCUUCCAGCAGCCUGCCCCUUAAGGCCGGGCAUCCCCUGGUGCUGUGCCAGGGUCGUCUGUCCUCCUCCAGAGAUAGGGAGCCCUGGGCAGGCCGCAUGCCCCAGCGCCUUGUGCCCCGGGGCCCAGUACGAAGUAGGUGUGCAGCUGUGUGGCAAUGCAUCGAAUGCAGGCUCCACGGCACUCGCCCUGAAAAGGGGAGGACAUCGGAGACAGCCUGGGUGGGUUUGCGCAUCUGUGGGGGGACCUGGAGCUCAGGUACGCAGUGACUCCCCAAGGUAGGGGGCUCUGAUCAUGACACACCCAGGAGGAGUCGGAUGUCACGUCUGUGGGUUGCCCGGGAGCACCUGGACUGCAUGGCUUUUGGGCUCCCCUGGUUAAAACCGGUGAGCAAAGGCAGGUGGCUAUGUGUAGGCACAGAGCUGGGCCAUCCAAGUCCGACUUUGCCAAAGCCUCACAGUAGACGGGGGCGGGCCUUAUUAGUUCUGCUUUGCAGAUGGGAAAGUGAGUCUGGGAACCUGGAAGGGACUGGCCAGAGCUGCCCAGGUGACCGCAGGUGCCUGGAGGCAAGCCAGCUGUUGCCCGGGGUCUGCCUACCUGCUCCUGAGGGGCCUGUGCCCUGCCUGCCCCAGGGAGCCACGUCUUCACACUUGCCCCUUUGGCCUGCACCCCAGGGGACCGGCUGAACGAGCGCGUGGCCUACCACCGGCUGGCCGCCCUGCACCACCGACUGGGCCACGGCGAGCUGGCGGAGCACUUCUACCUCAAGGCCCUGUCGCUCUGCAACUCGCCGCUGGAGUUCGACGAGGAGACCCUCUACUACGUGAAGGUGUACCUGGUGCUCGGUGACAUCAUCUUCUACGACCUGAAGGUGGGUGGGGAGGUGCAGGGCUUGGGGUAUUCCCAGCCCCUUGGAGUGGGAUCUCCACCCAGACCCCAGAGGCCUGGGUUCCAGCCUUCCUUAGGAAUGGCUCAGUGGCCUCCCUGGAGCUCUGCACCCAGCUGGAGGAGCCGGCAAAGUUAGUAGAUACAACCCAGCUCCCAAGAUGGCCAGGCCCCACCCUCAAGAAGUCAGUCUCAGCCAGGGAGGCUGACACAUGAGCGGGCAAUGGUGGCCUCUGGGUAAAGAAGGGGGAUUGUAGUCAGGGGGGCCCUCCUGGAGGAGGUGACACCAAAGCUGAGUCUUGACAGUCAAGUGUCAAGUUGCAUUUAACAAAGAAAACAGGGUGGGGAGAAGGACAUUUCUGAGGACGGCAUCAUCCUCACAUGGAAUCCACGUUGUAAGAUCCAACCCAAAUCCCAGCGCCUCCUCUAGGAAGCCUGCCCAGGGUGCCAGCCCGCACUGAGCAACUCCUUCCUGGAGUCCCGAGACACCUUGAAUCUUCACAUCACCCAGGAAGGGUGGGGUGGGGCCGGUGUCUUACCAUCUGCUUCACAGACGGAAACCCCAGCUCAGGGCAGGUGCAGUGGGGCCGGGCCCCAGCCAGCCGGGCUGAGGCCUUGCUGGGUCGGGUCUGUCUCGAGGGGAGGUGCUGGGACCUGGGCUCCCUCUGACCCCAGCCCUGCAGGGCUGGAGAGCUGGGACUGGCAGACUCGGACCUGGGGUGUCUCCACCCCUCUGCCCAGCAGGCACCCGCCCCUCCUAGCAUCGCACCGGCACCGCGUCAGUGCUCCUUAUGGGCUGAGGGGCCAGGGCACGCCAGUCCAGGGACCGAGAUCUUGGGGGCCUUAGAACAACAUGAGGAGCUGGGGCAGCCCUAAGACCCCGCCCCGUAUCCCCCACCGCAGGCCUGGGGCUGCCCGGGAGGCCCCCGCCCAGUGCUGGCGACACCUG
rnacentral:lncRNA from 1 species